UAUUGAUGUAAUAAUUUGAUUUCUAAAAUUUUUACUUGAUUUGAUCAUUUGGACAUUUGGCAAUGUAACAACACCGUUUUUGUCGGGAAGUUAUGGAUCAGUGGACAACUACAAGGCUUCAUAGAAUCCCAAGAAAUGGAGCUUUCCAAAGAUAUGUGGCAUGUGUACCAAGCCAGGCCCGCCCGCGGAGGAGAAGGUCAAAGAUGUGUAACAUGCAUAACUGUCAACAUGUGGCUAACAAAAUCCGGGAGACCUCUGAACCGGGGGGACAGGAUGGCAGAGGCAGGCUAAAUAGCACAACCUAAGUCUUCUCCUCCAAUCUACCAGUGAUGCUUGAUUCAACUUCCCACGUCAACUACCUGUGCAGAUAUCAACAGCACAACUGGGUUGUUGGUUGCCAGGUUGAGGUCACAAAUGGGUUGAAAUUUGUAUGAUUGUCUAUUGUUUUAGUAGGCUUCAUACAAGAUCUGGCAACUGGACAACCUUGGAAUAAUAUAUUGAUGUGAUUAUUCAUAUAACGAGGUUUGGGCCAAUCAAAUUACUUGUGUUUCCCAGGAGACGUAUCAAAAUGGGAGGGGGGCUG